rnacentral:rRNA from 1 species
UACGAGGGGGGCAAGCGUUGUUCGGAAUUAUUGGGCGUAAAGGGUGCGUAGGUGGCGCCGUAAGUCAGGUGUGAAAUUUCGGAGCUUAACUCCGAACUGACAUUUGAUACUGCGGUGCUUGAGGACUGGAGAGGAGACUGGAAUUUACGGUGUAGCAGUGAAAUGCGUAGAGAUCGUAAGGAAGACCAGUGGCGAAGGCGGGUCUCUGGACAGUUCCUGACACUGAGGCACGAAGGCCAGGGGAGCAAACGGG